rnacentral:rRNA from 1 species
GGUUCAGGAUGAACGCUAGCGGCAGGCUUAACACAUGCAAGUCGAGGGGCAUCGGGAGUAGCAAUACUUGCCGGCGACCGGCGCAAGGGUGCGUAACGCGUGAGCAACAUGCCCGUAUCAGGGGGAUAAUCCAUGGAAACGUGGUCUAAUACCCCAUAGUAAUUAUGUAAGGCAUCUUAUAUAAUUUAAAGCUUUGGUGGAUACGGAUUGGCUCGCGUGACAUUAGCUAGAUGGUAAGGUAACGGCUUACCAUGGCUAUGAUGUCUAGGGGUUCUGAGAGGAAGGUCCCCCCACACUGGAACUGAGACACGGUCCAGACUCCUACGGGAGGCAGCAGUGAGGAAUAUUGGACAAUGGAUGGAAAUCUGAUCCAGCCAUGCCGCGUGCAAGGAAGACGGCCCUAUGGGUUGUAAACUGCUUUUGUAUGGGAGCAAUAAGGGCUACGCGUAGUCCGAUGAGAGUACCAUACGAAUAAGCACCGGCUAACUCCGUGCCAGCCGCCGC